UGGAAAAGCAUCAGAUAAUCCAAAAGUUACAUUAAUAUUAAGAUCACCAAAAAAAUAGAAAUGCUAUUUCUGAGCACAAGCAACUCCAUGAACCCUAUCCUGGUUUCUCAAUAACUGUGACCACUAGAAGGAGACAUGGCCAGUUUCAGAGCUGGGAUGAGAAACCUUCAACAACUGGGAAAAACAAGUUAACUGAUAUCAAAAUACAACAAUGUAAAAACAAUUGAAUUCUGGUUAAAAAAAGAAGAGCUACAAAAGAUAUUUUGAUUAAGCAAGGAAAAAUUCAAAUAUGGACUGGAUACCAAA
rnacentral:antisense_RNA from 1 species